rnacentral:rRNA from 1 species
UUAACACAUGCAAGUCGAGGGGAAACGACAUCGAAAGCUUGCUUUUGAUGGGCGUCGACCGGCGCACGGGUGAGUAACGCGUAUCCAACCUGCCCACCACUUGGGGAUAACCUUGCGAAAGUAAGACUAAUACCCAAUGACGUCUCUAGAAGACAUCUGAAAGAGAUUAAAGAUUUAUCGGUGAUGGAUGGGGAUGCGUCUGAUUAGCUUGUUGGCGGGGUAACGGCCCACCAAGGCAACGAUCAGUAGGGGUUCUGAGAGGAAGGUCCCCCACAUUGGAACUGAGACACGGUCCAAACUCCUACGGGAGGCAGCAGUGAGGAAUAUUGGUCAAUGGACGAGAGUCUGAACCAGCCAAGUAGCGUGCAGGAUGACGGCCCUAUGGGUUGUAAACUGCUUUUAUAAGGGAAUAAAGUGAGUCUCGUGAGACUUUUUGCAUGUACCUUAUGAAUAAGGACCGGCUAAUUCCGUGCCAGCAGCCGCGGUAAUACGGAAGGUCCGGGCGUUAUCCGGAUUUAUUGGGUUUAAAGGGAGCGUAGGCCGGAGAUUAAGCGUGUUGUGAAAUGUAGACGCUCAACGUCUGCACUGCAGCGCGAACUGGUUUCCUUGAGUACGCACAAAGUGGGCGGAAUUCGUGGUGUAGCGGUGAAAUGCUUAGAUAUCACGAAGAACUCCGAUUGCGAAGGCAGCUCACUGGAGCGCAACUGACGCUGAAGCUCGAAAGUGCGGGUAUCGAACAGGAUUAGAUACCCUGGUAGUCCGCACGGUAAACGAUGGAUGCCCGCUGUUGGUCUGAAUAGGUCAGCGGCCAAGCGAAAG